CUGACAAACAAGUUGUUGGGGUUGAAGAAGCUUCGGGGAAGGCGAGAAGGCAACUUUGGAAGGAGAGAGCUGAGCAUGGACUGAAGACCUUGAACUAAGAGUGUGCAGCAAACAGCCUUGUAUCUGAGACAGCUUUAUAGCAGACACUGUAUGGAGUAAAAGAACAGUCCUUGACUGGAUCACGGCAGUGAAGCAAGCAGAGAUACAACAGCGGGAAAAAGCCAAAGACAGCGAGUGGAUAGCCACAAUAUGGAUGGAGUGAAAGUAUCAGUGGACAGACGAAAGAAGAGAUGAGGGUAGAGCUUCAGCUGGAGCAGAGUUGGGCAAGGCCUGAGAGGCCAGGGUGAGGAGCUUAAAUUUGAGUUGGAAGCAGAGAAGGGUCCAUUGGAGGUUUCAAAGAGGGGCUCUGAGCAGUGAGCAAAGAAGAAGGUUUUGGUAGCGGGGAUCUGGACAGGUUGCAGAGACGCAAUCUGGGAGUCGGGAGAGUUUGCAACGUCUAAAGGAGAGAUGGCUGGAGUGUGGGCAAGGGUUAUAAGGCAGAAGGACAGAGAGUACAGGAGAUUUUGGAGAUGUACAGGAAGAAGCGCCUGUGUUUGGUAAUCACCUGAAUGUGGAAAA